GCCUGAUGCAGCAACGCCGCGUGCGGGAUGACGGCCUUCGGGUUGUAAACCGCUUUUAGUAGGGAAGAAGGGCUUCGGCUUGACGGUACCUGCAGAAAAAGGACCGGCUAACUACGUGCCAGCAGCCGCGGUAAUACGUAGGGUCCGAGCGUUGUCCGGAAUUAUUGGGCGUAAAGAGCUCGUAGGCGGUUUGUCGCGUCUGCUGUGAAAUCUGGAGGCUCAACCUCCAGCCUGCAGUGGGUACGGGCAGACUAGAGUGCGGUAGGGGAGAAUGGAAUUCCUGGUGUAGCGGUGGAAUGCGCAGAUAUCAGGAGGAACACCGAUGGCGAAGGCAGUUCUCUGGGCCGUAACUGACGCUGAGGAGCGAAAGCGUGGGGAGCGAACAGGAUUAGAUACCCUGGUAGUCCACGCCGUAAACGUUGGGCGCUAGAUGUGGGGACCUUUCCACGGUUUCCGUGUCGUAGCUAACGCAUUAAGCGCCCCGCCUGGGGAGUACGGCCGCAAGGCUAAAACUCAAAGGAAUUGACGGGGGCCCGCACAAGCGGCGGAGCAUGCGGAUUAAUUCGAUGCAACGCGAAGAACCUUACCAAGGCUUGACAUAACCGAGAACGCCCUAGAAAUAGGGAACUCUU
rnacentral:rRNA from 1 species